GUGCUAGCUUCGGCAGCACAUAUACUAAAAUUGAAAUGAUACGGAGAAGAUUAGCAUGGCCCCUGCGCAAGGAUGACACACAAAUUCGUGAAGCAUUCCUUAUUUUU
ensembl:snRNA Gm24142 predicted gene, 24142